CCUACGGGUGGCAGCAGUGAGGAAUAUUGGUCAAUGGACGCAAGUCUGAACCAGCCAUGCCGCGUGCAGGAAGACGGCUCUAUGAGUUGUAAACUGCUUUUGUACGAGGGUAAACCCCGAUACGCGUACCUGUUUGAAAGUAUCGUACGAAUAAGGAUCGGCUAACUCCGUGCCAGCAGCCGCGGUAAUACGGAGGAUUCAAGCGUUAUCCGGAUUUAUUGGGUUUAAAGGGUGCGUAGGCGGUUGGAUAAGUUAGAGGUGAAAUUCCGCGGCUCAACUGCGGAAUUGCCUCUGAUACUGUCCGGCUAGAGAGUAGUAGCGGUAGGCGGAAUGUGUGGUGUAGCGGUGAAAUGCUUAGAGAUCAUACAGAACACCGAUUGCGAAGGCAGCUUACCAAACUACGACUGACGUUGAGGCACGAAAGCGUGGGGAGCAAACAGGAUUAGAUACCCUAGUAGUC
rnacentral:rRNA from 1 species